UACGUAGGAGGCAAGCGUUGUCCGGAGUUACUGGGCGUAAAGGGCCCGCAGGCGGUGGAGUAAGUUUGGAGUGACAGUUCCCAGCUUAACCGGGAAAGGACUUCGAAAACUGCUCGACUUGAGGACUGGAGAGGAAGGCGGAAUUCCGGGUGGAGCGGUGAAAUGCAUUGAGAUCGGAAAGAACACCAACGGCGAAAGCACUCUGCUGGGCCGACACUGACACUGAGAGACGUAAGCUAGGGGAGCAAAUGGG
rnacentral:rRNA from 1 species